UAUAACAGAACUUCAACUUAUUGAAUAGUCACUGACCGAAGAAUUUCUAACUAUGGUUUCAAUCAGCUUUCAACUCUGGUCACCUGAUGAGAGAGCAUGCACAUGUAUUAGAGAGGAAGAGUCCAAUAAGUUUCCAACUCGCAAGAUUAUUGGUUGCCACGUGAAGCCAGUUUUGAGAGCAUGACGCUCACUCAGCAUCAACUGCCAAAAAUUAGACAUCAAUUUAAUCAGAAAUGACAGCCUAACUAGGGUCUGGAAUGCAUGAUUAAGGGCCACCAAGGGAGAUGGGGAAGGAAAUGGAGCAUAAAAUGAUCUAUCUAGAGGAAUCUGGGAUUUUGGUACUGUUGCGGAUACCUGCUGUUAAGAGACCAUCGUAGCUAAUAAUCAGAGUCAGAAAAUGAUUUGUGAACAAAGCUCUAUAAAUCUUGCUACUUGAUGAAUUAAAUGGCAGUCAAGCUGAUCUAGAGCAACCCUAACAAGGUGAUAGUGACCCAGAAAAGUUCUUGGGUGUUAUUUUUCUUGUGCUUGUUACUUAGAAAUCAACAAAACACAAGGAUUACCUCUAUUAGGAUGUUACUUGAGCUGAGCAAGGCUACUGCAAUCUCAUCACCAGCGAGAGCAUUGUUUUUCACAAGUGCAAUGUCUAAGCUUGAGUUAAGAUCAACUUCACAAAACCAUGAUAACAGCAAAAUUAUGAAAAUGGAUUGCAGAGCAAGAUUACCUAUGUCAAGUUCAUGGCCACAAAAUAAAACUUCCCAGAUUUGAAAAUCAGGCGUUAAGAGCAAGAGAAAGGAUACUAGAUGCCGGUGGGGCUCCUCCAGUGAGUUCGUUCACUUCUGCAAGCAAGAAUGGAGUUUCAGCAAUGCCGGUUUUAUUCUUGUCCCAAAGGAUCCAUUUCCAUUUAUGUAAAACUUAAAGCCAAAAAGUUCCAACCUGGCUUCUCUAAGGGCACUUUGUAUAGCAGACUCAAUCAAGCCUCCAGAAGCUGUGUGUUCUUUAGGGAUUGGAACAGUAAUCAGGAUUCCAGAGCCAAGCUUAAGUUUCAAGUUAGUUUCUGCAAUUAAGAAAGAAAGGAAAACAUAAUCACUCACAAUUCUUCUCAUUCUCAUAGGGGUGGGGUUGGGGGUGGAAUAAAGGUAAGAUGAACACAGUUCUCUGGGGUGUCUACACGACAAUGUACCUAUGUUAUUUAUCAUAAAUAGAACAGAAAUAUUCAUUAGAUUCGAUGAAAUUACAUGUUGAUUUGAAGCCUUGCAUACAAGCAUUAGUGCAGUGUAAAAUCAAUAUUCUACCAGUUAUUUUUAAGGUCACGGGGCUUUUUCAUGAAUGAAUCUUUUUUGGGUUUCUCUUGUAUGGAACCCAUGCUAA